UACGUAGGGUGCAAGCGUUGUCCGGAAUUAUUGGGCGUAAAGAGCUCGUAGGCGGUCUGUUGCGUCGGCUGUGAAAACCCGGGGCUCAACCCCGGGCCUGCAGUCGAUACGGGCAGACUAGAGUUCGGCAGGGGAGACUGGAAUUCCUGGUGUAGCGGUGAAAUGCGUAGAUAUCGUAAGGAAGACCAGUGGCGAAGGCGAGUCUCUGGACAGUUACCGACGCUGAGGCACGAAGGUCAGGGGAGCAAACGGG
rnacentral:rRNA from 1 species